rnacentral:tRNA from 1 species
GUAGAUAUAGUUUAACUAAAACACUAGAUUGUGAUUCUAAAGACAGGGGUUAAAAUCCCCUUAUCCACC